UUUAUAUAGACACGACAUAUAUAUUCGAACCAGGUCAGGAUUGGAAAAUAGCAGCCUUAAGAAUCCCUAUAUGUGCGUGUCACUUUUUUAUGGG
rnacentral:SRP_RNA from 1 species